GAUGAAGAACGCAGCGAAAUGCGAUAAGUAAUGCGAAUUGCAGAAUUUCCGUGAAUCAUCGAAUCUUUGAACGCACAUUGCGCCCCUUGGUAUUCCAUGGGGCAUGCCUGUUCGAGCGUCAUUUGUACCUUCAAGCUCUGCUUGGUGUUGGGUGUUUGUCUCGCCUCUGCGUGUAGACUCGCCUCAAAACAAUUGGCAGCCGGCGUAUUGAUUUCGGAGCGCAGUACAUCUCGCGCUUUGCACUCAUAACGACGACGUCCAAAAGUACAUUUUUACACUCUUGACCUCGGAUCAGGUAGGGAUACCCGCUGAACUUAAGCAUAUCAAUAAGCGGAGGA
rnacentral:misc_RNA from 1 species